UCCAACGUAGAAGAGUUGUGUUACUAUCCUCUCGAAAUCUCUCCCCGACAAUGGUAAAUUGACAUGCUUCUGUUCUUGUUUUGUAUUUCUUCCUCUCUUAAUUAUGACUUUUUGCUUAUUGAUUCUGUAAAAUCAUUUGAUGAGAAAAUUGAACCUGAUCUAAAGGCGACAGCGAUGAGAAAAUUGAACCUGAUCACCUUCUUGUUCUUGUACACGGCAUCUUAGCCAGAGAAUAUAGGUUAGACAAGUUAUCCAAAAGAACAAGAGCUUAAAGAAGAUUUCCUUUUUAGCACACUCCCUCGGUGGCUUAUCGCAGAGACAUGCUGUUGCCGUUCUUUAUUCAGCAGCAGUGUCACAAGCCAGUGAUGGUGCUGCUCUCUCUAACUCUGGGAACUCACAUCUUCCGCGAGGUAGCCUUGCUGGGCUCGAGCAGAUGAAUUUUAUUACCUUGGCAACACCUCAUCUAGGAGUGAGGACAGAAAGCAGGUUUUAUCCAUUUCCUGUUAUAAUAAUUGGAACUCGUCAAUUGUUUAGUAUGAUGUUAAAACGGUAGUUCUUUGGUCUCUCCCAUUUUUGGAAUUAUGAGACUGAUCAUAGAGGAAGUUGUAGUGUCCACUCUAGCUCAAUUUCCAUAGCAGUUCAUAUAAUUUUAGACAAGUUUUAUUAAGAAACUUUAAUUAAGAAACUCCCAUUGGACCACUCAAAAUGAGAGUUUCUUAACUAAA